rnacentral:rRNA from 1 species
UACGUAGGGAGCAAGCGUUGUCCGGAAUCAUUGGGCGUAAAGCGCGCGUAGGUGGCCCCAUAAGUCCGCUGUGAAAGUCAAAGGCUCAACCUUUGAAAGCCGGUGGAUACUGUGGGACUAGAGUACGGAAGAGGCGAGUGGAAUUCCUGGUGUAGCGGCGGGAUGCGCAGAUAUCAGGAGGAACACCAAUAGCGAAGGCAGCUCGCUGGGACGUUACUGACACUGAGGCGCGAAAGCGUGGGGAGCGAACAGG